rnacentral:rRNA from 1 species
UACGAAGGGGGCUAGCGUUGCUCGGAAUCACUGGGCGUAAAGCGCACGUAGGCGGACUCUUAAGUCGGUGGUGAAAUCCUGGAGCUCAACUCCAGAACUGCCUUCGAUACUGGGAGUCUCGAGUCCGGAAGAGGAGAGCGGAAUUCCUGGUGUAGCGGUGAAAUGCGCAGAUAUCAGGAAGAACACCCGUGGCGAAGGCGGCUCUCUGGGACGGUACUGACGCUGAGACGCGAAAGCGUGGGGAGCGAACAGG